rnacentral:rRNA from 1 species
GACGAACGCUUGCGGCGUGCUUAACAUAUGCAAGUCGAACGGAAAGGCCCUGCUUUUGUGGGGUGCUCGAGUGGCGAACGGGUGAGUAACACGUGAGUAACCUGCCCUUGACUUUGGGAUAACUUCAGGAAACUGGGGCUAAUACCGGAUAGGAGCUCCUGCUGCAUGGUGGGGGUUGGAAAGUUUCGGCGGUUGGGGAUGGACUCGCGGCUUAUCAGCUUGUUGGUGGGGUAGUGGCUUACCAAGGCUUUGACGGGUAGCCGGCCUGAGAGGGUGACCGGCCACAUUGGGACUGAGAUACGGCCCAGACUCCUACGGGAGGCAGCAGUGGGGAAUAUUGCACAAUGGGCGGAAGCCUGAUGCAGCAACGCCGCGUGCGGGAUGACGGCCUUCGGGUUGUAAACCGCUUUCGCCUGUGACGAAGCGUGAGUGACGGUAAUGGGUAAAGAAGCACCGGCUAACUACGUGCCAGCAGCCGCGGUGAUACGUAGGGUGCGAGCGUUGUCCGGAUUUAUUGGGCGUAAAGGGCUCGUAGGUGGUUGAUCGCGUCGGAAGUGUAAUCUUGGGGCUUAACCCUGAGCGUGCUUUCGAUACGGGUUGACUUGAGGAAGGUAGGGGAGAAUGGAAUUCCUGGUGGAGCGGUGGAAUGCGCAGAUAUCAGGAGGAACUCCAGUGGCGAAGGCGGUUCUCUGGGCCUUUCCUGACGCUGAGGAGCGAAAGCGUGGGGAGCGAACAGGCUUAGAUACCCUGGUAGUCCACGCUGUAAACGGUGGGUACUAGGUGUGGGGUCCAUUCCACGGGUUCCGUGCCGUAGCUAACGCUUUAAGUACCCCGCCUGGGGAGUACGGCCGCAAGGCUAAAACUCAAAGGAAUUGACGGGGCCCCGCACAAGCGGCGGAGCAUGCGGAUUAAUUCGAUGCAACGCGUAGAACCUUACCUGGGUUUGACAUGGAUCGGGAGUGCUCAGAGAUGGGUGUGCCUCUUUUGGGGUCGGUUCACAGGUGGUGCAUGGCUGUCGUCAGCUCGUGUCGUGAGAUGUUGGGUUAAGUCCCGCAACGAGCGCAACCCUUGUUCACUGUUGCCAGCACGUUAUGGUGGGGACUCAGUGGAGACCGCCGGGGUCAACUCGGAGGAAGGUGGGGAUGACGUCAAGUCAUCAUGCCCCUUAUGUCCAGGGCUUCACGCAUGCUACAAUGGCUGGUACAGAGAGUGGCGAGCCUGUGAGGGUGAGCGAAUCUCGGAAAGCCGGUCUCAGUUCGGAUUGGGGUCUGCAACUCGACCUCAUGAAGUCGGAGUCGCUAGUAAUCGCAGAUCAGCAACGCUGCGGUGAAUACGUUCCCGGGGCU